GACGUAGGGCGCGAGCGUUGUCCGGAUUUAUUGGGCGUAAAGAGCUCGUAGGCGGUUUGUCGCGUCGAAUGUGAAAACCCGGGGCUCAACUCCGGGCCUGCAUUCGAUACGGGCAGACUAGAGUUCGGUAGGGGAGACUGGAAUUCCUGGUGUAGCGGUGAAAUGCGCAGAUAUCAGGAGGAACACCGGUGGCGAAGGCGGAUCUCUGGGACGUGACUGACGCUGAGACGCGAAAGCGUGGGGAGCAAACAGG
rnacentral:rRNA from 1 species